UACAGAGGUCUCAAGCGUUGUUCGGAUUCAUUGGGCGUAAAGGGUGCGUAGGUGGCGCGGUAAGUCGGGUGUGAAAUCUCGGGGCUUAACUCCGAAACUGCAUUCGAUACUGCCGUGCUUGAGGACUGGAGAGGAGACUGGAAUUUACGGUGUAGCGGUGAAAUGCGUAGACAUCGUAAGGAAGACCAGUGGCGAAGGCGGGUCUCUGGACAGUUCCUGACGCUGAGGCACGAAGGCCAGGGGAGCAAACGGG
rnacentral:rRNA from 1 species